AUGAGACCCCUAGAGAUUAAAUCUUUUAUCCACAGAAUUGGCUCAGUACUGGCAGCAGCAUAAACUUCCCAAUAAUGCCUGGCCAAUAUGAUUCAAAUCUUUGAGGUGGGGCUACCUCAGAAGGGAGGGAUUAGUUCAGUCUCCAUGGCCAUUCAGUCUUUUACUCUU
rnacentral:sRNA from 1 species